CACACCUCAAACUGUCAUUUUGGCGGUUAACUGAACCCUACUCUCUCUCUCUCUCUAACCUCAGUUCUUACUCAGCCUAUCUAUCUAUAUAUACUUCUGGCUUUACAAAUCCCGUUGAGAGCUACUUAAAUUCCUCAGUUCUUACUCAGCCUAUCUAUCAAUUCAACUUCUCAUUUUGGUCCAACCCAUGCUCUGUUUCGUGUUCAUUCUAAAAUUCAACCUGUUUAUUUCUUCAUAAUCCCAGUAAUAACUUUCUUGAAUUUGAUUACUUGCUCUGGCUGAAGAGUUGGUGCUUUCGAAGCCGUUUGAAGAUGUUUCAAGAACCAGGUGUCUGUUUCUACCGCUGCUGCCAAUGCAGUACCACCCUUGCAUUCACCGACCACUUAGUUUCCAAGUCAGAAUGUGACUGCUGCUGGCCCAUUUCAUUAUCAAAUUGACGGUAAUAACUUGGUUGCUGAUGUUACCUGUAACGGUUGCAACAGCCUUUUGGGUUGGAAAUAUGUAAGAGUGCCACAGAGAAACUACGCAGUUCAGCCCAGAAGAUUCCUAUUGCAGUUGAACAAGCUUCUGAUGUGGGAUGGAAAGAACAUGCUGUAUGCAGAUACACGGAUGGUUACAU